AUUGAACGCUGGCGGCAGGCCUAACACAUGCAAGUCGAACGAGUGGCGGACGGGUGAGUAAUGUCUGGGAAACUGCCUGGGGGAGGGGGAUAACUACUGGAACCGGUAGCUGAUACCGCAUACCAUCGAAUGGGCCCAGAUGGGAUUAGCGGGGUGGUGGGGGAACGGCUCACCAAGGCGACGAUCCCUCGCUGGUCUGAGAGGAUGCCCUGCCACACUGGAACUGAGACACGGGCCAGACGCCUACGGGAGGGAGCAGUGGGGAACGUGGCACAAUGGGCGCAAGCCUGAUGCAGCCAUGCAGCGUGUAUGAAGAAAGCGCUCGGGUUGUAAAGUACGUUCAGCGGGGAGGCGUUACCCGCAGAAGAAGCACCGGCUAACUCCGUGCCAGCCGCCGCGGUAAUUC
rnacentral:rRNA from 1 species